UAUGAGUUUGAUCAUGGCUCAGAUUGAACGCUGGCGGCAUGCUUUACACAUGCAAGUCGAACGGUAACAGGGAGCUUGCUCCGCUGACGAGUGGCGAACGGGUGAGUAAUGCGUCGGAACGUGCCGAGUAGUGGGGGAUAACGCAUCGAAAGGUGUGCUAAUACCGCAUACGAACUGAGGUUGAAAGUGGGGGACCUUCGGGCCUCACGCUAUUCGAGCGGCCGACGUCUGAUUAGCUAGUAGGUGAGGUAAAGGCUCACCUAGGCGACGAUCAGUAGCGGGUCUGAGAGGAUGAUCCGCCACACUGGGACUGAGACACGGCCCAGACUCCUACGGGAGGCAGCAGUGGGGAAUUUUGGACAAUGGGCGCAAGCCUGAUCCAGCCAUGCCGCGUGUCUGAAGAAGGCCUUCGGGUUGUAAAGGACUUUUGUCUGGGAGCAAAUACCCGGUGUUAAUAGCGCCGGGGGCUGAGAGUACCAGAAGAAUAAGCACCGGCUAACUACGUGC
rnacentral:rRNA from 1 species